rnacentral:lncRNA from 1 species
GGGGGAUGUGAACAUGAAUAAUCACAUCACAAUAACUCAAGGUGUAACUGACCACAGCUGUUGCAAUGACACUGACUUUACCAAUACAAAGGGGAGCAGAGGGGAACCUUUGUUUCAGGUGAACAGCUAUGAACAAAUGAAUGGAUCAGCUACAGGUGUAAAUGUUUCUCCUUGAGGUGGUUAGGAGAAUAUGAAUGUCUCCCUGAGUAUAGGGGCAGUAAAUAUGUGGCUCAGCCCAACAAACAGUAUAAAAACUAAAUGAAAAAAAAGCAUUCUGUGUAGGGCAGUGUAACAGCAGGCUUCAGUUCUAGGGAUGUAUUGUUGAUGAUUGGAAUGACUGGCAUCAUGAUGAAGGUUGUCAAGUAUUUUAUACCAGGUCCAUGUGAGGGAGCACUGACUAAGACCAUUACAUGCUCUUCUCUGGUUUCUGCUAUCUUUCUUCAGCCCAAAGGACUAUUAAAAUUAUCCAUUAGUGAAACAGCAAUAUCCUCUGUGAUCUACUACAUAUCAGAAGAAAUGGGUGGCUGUGAUUAUAGUAGAAACAUUACAUGAAAAAAAUGCCAAAAAUAUGUUAAUGUGCUAAUUCUGAAUUAUAUUCCAGAAUUCUUUGAAGAUAAAUGUAUAUAUAUAUAUUUUUUUUUGUGUGUGUAAGACUUUUGUCUAGACUAUAAAAAGAGGCAUUAAAAAGUUGUAAGUAUAUUUUAAUUGAGAGCUGUUUUUAAAAGUGUUAGCAUCUAAAUACUGAAACCUUCAAAAGCAAUUUCAGUGCCUACCAAAACAGAUUCUAAUGUUUAUAUUGAUUGUAUUGGGAUGAGAGGGGAUGCUUGCAAAAGGAGAUUUAAUAGAUCUAAGAACAAUAAAGUGAAGUUUCAACAUGAACA